AACGUAGGUGGCGAGCGUUAUCCGGAUUUACUGGGCGUAAAGGGUGUGCAGGCGGGGUAUCAAGUGGGGUAUGAAAGGAGGCGGCUCAACUGCCUCAUGUUAUGCCAGACUGAUGCUCUUGAGGACCAAACAGGGCUGUGGAAUUCCGGGUGUAGUGGUGAAAUGCGUAGAGAUCCGGAGGAACCCCAGAGGCGAAGGCGGCAGCCUGGUUGGCUCCUUACGCUCGGACACGACAGCAUGGGGAGCGAACGGG
rnacentral:rRNA from 1 species